rnacentral:tRNA from 1 species
CUCCCUGUGGCUCUGUUGGUAGAGCAUGGUGUUUGUAAUGCCAGCAUGGUGUGUGCAACGCCAGGGUUGUGGGUUCGAUUCCCACAGGGGGC